rnacentral:rRNA from 1 species
UACAGAGGGGACAAGCGUUAUUCGGAAUUAUUGGGCGUAAAGGGCGCGUAGGCGGCAUGGCAAGUGGAAGGUGAAAUCCCUCGGCUUAACCGAGGAACUGCCCUCCAAACUGCUUUGCUUGAGGCCGGGAGAGGUGAGUGGAAUUCCCAGUGUAGCGGUGAAAUGCGUAGAUAUUGGGAGGAACACCAGUGGCGAAGGCGGCUCACUGGACCGGUUCUGACGCUGAUGCGCGAAAGCGUGGGGAGCAAACGGG